CUAACACAUGCAAGUCGAGCGGUAACAGAUCCAGCUUGCUGGAUGCUGACGGGCGGCGGGCGGGUGAGUAAUGCAUAGGAAUCUGCCCGAUAGUGGGGGAUAACCUGGGGAAACCCAGGCUAAUACCGCAUACGUCCUACGGGAGAAAGGGGGCUCCGGCUCCCGCUAUGGGAUGAGCCUAUGUCGGAUUAGCUAGUUGGUGAGGUAACGGCUCACCAAGGCCACGAUCCGUAGCUGGUCUGAGAGGAUGAUCAGCCACAUCGGGACUGAGACACGGCCCGAACUCCUACGGGAGGCAGCAGUGGGGAAUAUUGGACAAUGGGGGCAACCCUGAUCCAGCCAUGCCGCGUGUGUGAAGAAGGCCCUCGGGUUGUAAAGCACUUUCAGCGAGGAAGAACGCCUAGCGGUUAAUACCCGCUAGGAAAGACAUCACUCGCAGAAGAAGCACCGGCUAACUCCGUGCCAGCAGCCGCGGUAAUACGGAGGGUGCAAGCGUUAAUCGGAAUUACUGGGCGUAAAGCGCGCGUAGGUGGCUUGACAAGCCGGUUGUGAAAGCCCCGGGCUCAACCUGGGAACGGCAUCCGGAACUGUCAAGCUAGAGUGCAGGAGAGGAAGGUAGAAUUCCCGGUGUAGCGGUGAAAUGCGUAGAGAUCGGGAG
rnacentral:rRNA from 1 species